rnacentral:rRNA from 1 species
GAUGAACGCUGACAGCAUGCCUAACACAUGCAAGUCAUUCGCACAGCUGCGCUUGCUCCGUCUCUCCUAUUCGCGCGGGUCAGUAACGCAUCACGAACAUGCCCUGCCUACAAGACUGACAUACCUUCGCGACUGCUAACACCUUACCUUAUCAUGCUUGCGCCUGCCUGCCUGAUGAAAGAAGACGCUUCGUGAGAGCCUUUCGUCCUGUUAGCUAGCUGGUGGGGUUACGGCCCACCAAGGCGAUGAUACGUAGCCGGCCUGAUAGGGGGAACGGCCACAAGGGGAAUGAGAUACGGCACUUACGCAUACGGGAGGAAGCAGUGGGGAAUAUUGGAGAAUGGGGGCAACCCUGAUCCAGCAAUUCUGUGUGCACGAAGAAGGUUUUAGGAUUGUAAAGUGCUGUCAGCAGGGAAGAAGAAAGUGACGGUACCUGCAGAAGAAGCGACGGCUAAAUACGUG